UACAGAGGUCUCAAGCGUUGUUCGGAUUCAUUGGGCGUAAAGGGCGCGUAGGCGGCUUGGCAAGUGGAUGGUGAAAUCCCUCGGCUUAACCGAGGAACUGCCGUCCAAACUGCUUUGCUUGAGGCCGGGAGAGGUGAGUGGAAUUCCCAGUGUAGCGGUGAAAUGCGUAGAUAUUGGGAGGAACACCAGUGGCGAAGGCGGCUCACUGGACCGGUACUGACGCUGAUGCGCGAAAGCGUGGGGAGCAACGGG
rnacentral:rRNA from 1 species